AAAUAUUUUUGGUUUCGAUGUCGUUUUGGUAUUUGUUGCGGCUUCUACAUACUUCUAGAAUGUUACGUGUCAAUUUGAAUUAUAUAUCAAAUCUAUUUGAUGUCUAGAUUAGACCUGCUUGUAGAUUACUGAUGAUCGAUUAGAAUCAUUACGUUGUCGAGCUUCGUUGAAGGUAAUAUACAUAUUAGUGUGUCCUCUAUUCGAUGUUUUGAUUCAGUCGUAUUGUGACGUAGGAUAUGUUGAAGAAAUUACAAUCAUUGCUUUACUUUGGCAAGGAAAAUCUGAAUUAACAAUAACUAUGAUAGCUGGUAAGAGUACCUUCUGAAGCGAUCUCGUAAAUUACCCGGGGAACGAGUUUUGCAACUAGGCGACCUCAGCAAGGCGAACGAAGAAGCGGCCACACACGUUCAAACUGCCGAUAGAACGAACGAAGACGCGAAAGGUUGGCCGUACAAACGGAGGAAUGAAAGAAAUGCUGAAGAGCAAAGAAAGAAAAAGAUAGAAGGCUCGUUUGCAUGCCGUGUACGCGAUACCGUGUACAUACCAGUAGAUCGGUGAUCGCCUAAUAAAGCGAGGCGAACAGACAUUCCACUAAGCUUUGACCGCACUUUUACGCGUCGUACGAUCUUCGCGAGUAAUUUGAGCGUUAAUGAGAGAGAUGAAACGAGAAGACUCGAACGAUCGAGAGGAACGGUAUACGCGUAUCUAAAUGAAACAUAGGUGUAUCGUAUCGAGCAGCUUGUUUAACUCUUUAACUACGAGAACCGGCUGGGAAACUAAAGAAAUUCCCCGCGUUAUAUUUCAGGGAUUUUAGUCAUGCGUUGAUAGUACGUGCGGGAAGACGCCACAUAGCGCCGACUCAAGAUUUCGUUGCGAGCAAUCGAGAUUCUGUUCGAACGCUUGCGAGGUUCACCUUCUGUAGGUGAUUUUUUUUUUGUAAGAUAAAGCAGAACUUUUAGUUCUUGGAAAACGAAAAUUAUGAUUGUAUUUAAUUAUUCAACACUUGUGUUGAACUCUUGUGAAACACAUUUGUUCUCAAAAUAUACUCUUGACACAAUAAAAUUCCAUAAACAGAAGUCAGUCAGGUGGAAAUGUACAGUUAGCAUUUAGUACAGAUUUUCAAAGUCGUUUUUCUCGAAAACAAAGCUCGCGUAGAAAAAGCUGUAUUCUACAUUUUUCGACCUACUUCUCUAUGAGGAUUCAUCCCUUUCUCAGUUGUACCAUCAGUUAACGAACAUCUUGUUUAUUACAAAUACUAUGAUAUAUGCACAGCGAAAAUCUAUUUAUCUGAACUCCACUUAGUGGAAAUUUUAGUUAACAUCCGAUUAAUUCAACUUUUGCUGGUUGAGUUCACUUAAUGUGAACGAAAAAUCGAAACAUGUAGCGAGGAAAAUUGGUGAACUCGUAUUAUAUGAACUCCGAUUGUGUAAACUGUUGAUUGUGAACCCUGACAAGUUCAGACGAACAAAAAGUCCUGCUAUAUAAUGUUACGUAAUAUCAUAAUGUAUUUUUUAAAAUACUUGAUCCAAAAGUGAUAUAUAUUUUUAGGAAAAUGUAAUGUAGGAAAAAUUGUUCAAUAUUGCCACGAUCAUGUUGUCGUGAUUUUUCCUGAAGCUUCUAAUUUACUCAAUCGAGGCGCUGAUUUGCAUUUGUAGACGCGCAAACAAGGUGUAGAUCUGCGCGUAAUGUCGAGUGUUUGGUUACCUGUUUGAUUAGACGGUAUACAUCUAGGGUUACGUCGAUAAGCACACAUCGUGUAUUCCUAAUGAAAUCCGAUCGCAUGUAUCGUUUUUGUAAUCUUUGCAAUGACAUUUAUUGUCCUUCUUCAAAGGCAAAGGUGUGAGUUUCGUUUCAAAAUUAUUAUUUUAACCAGUUCUAUCUUUUCUAUCUGACGACGUGUUCUAUUUCCUGGUUCUUCGGAACGGAAUCGAAAAUAACUGAUAUUGUUUCUUUCAUUUGCAAAGAAUGACUCUUUAACAUUAUUUAAAUUCACAUUUCAAUUGUUACGAAUUUCACAUCUUAUACAUAUGUACGUACGAUACGUGAUACGAUUAUUAAUAUCUUGCCCCUAUUAUUAUUUCCUAUAGAAAGUUGAAAAUAUAUUUUUUUGUCUUUGAUAUCAAAAAUGCAAGUGAUGUUUAUACAGAAAUAUGUAAUUAUUUUCUAAAUUGUUCGUUCUAAAUUCUUAGUUAUUUUAUUACAUUGUCAGAUAGUUAAUCGAGACGAGCAUGUGUACAAGGAUGAACGUAAAUUAUUUUCUACUUUUUAUUAUCAAGAUAACUUAUACAUUUCGACAGAAUAUUUUAUAGCUUCGAUUUUUGGUGACACGUUCGUUUCCUCUCGAUUAGGGGAAAUUAGUUUUCAAUGAAUUGCCGUGGUCAGGACAGUCGAAGCCUAAAAAAGAAAAUGACAAUCGUACAUCCUGCGGAAGCGGAUGCUCGCCGGCACGCUUGGCUGACUUCUCCAACCUUCCACUCGUCUGGUCUCUCGUUUCCUACCUGCGCAUUGGUGCAUCAUUGUUAAAAAUGCCAGUUUGUUGCAGUAUUACAUAAAUGCGCGUAAAUGCGAGCGUUCCAAUGAUACAUUGUUGAUCUUGGAGGUGUCUUUUUUACAAGAGAACAAUUUCCGUUGACCUUUCGUUGCGAAGCUCGAUAUUAUGGAUCUGGCACGCUGUUCUAUUUCUAAUUGGAAAUUAAAUUCAUUAGAUUACACAUCGAACGUGCAAAUUCACUGAAACGUAAAAUCAUCUACGUGGAUAACUUGGUCUUCUUAAGUACAUCCUGCUCGCCUAUUUUUAGCCAAAUAUUGCGAGUUGUUAAUCGUGAAUUAGUAUAUAGACGUAUUUUUCGUUGGAAUAAUAGCGAAGCGUAUCGAUAAUAGAAAUAAAACUAAUCAUCUUAGGGAAUAAUAUAAAAAAUUGUUAGAUUUUGUUCAUUUUACAAAGGUAUCGUAGAUUUACACUAAAAUGAACGAAAGAGGAUAUUAGCCGAUUGAUAAAAUAUCUUUAAUCACCUUGUAAAUUAUAAAAUUUACGAUUCAAAUAUUUGUUUAUUGUUACAUAUUAGCAGAUGGUAAAUACGCGAGAAUAUGUUAUGAACAAAUGUUUUUUCUUUUAUGGACAAAUUCUUUUAAACAUGCAGAAUGAUAGAUGAAACUUCCCAGAGAAAAAAUCAAUGGCUCACGCCGUUGUACUGCUUCGUGGCUUGCACAUGCCACGCGCAUUGAAUUUUUGCUCGCCAUAUGCGCCGAUUUCGAUUCUAGUGGCUCAUUUACUGCACUCGCUGCACGAGUUCGUUUACGCACGCACAUUGAACUUCGAGGUGCAUUGUGCAUGAUACUCUUGAGGGGUUUGAAAUGCGUUCGUCUGCGUUGCCUGCAACGUGUCAGCGUCGUAACAUUUUAUCGGACACGAGUCUACACGAUAGACAUCGGACAUUGCCACCCCAGGAAAAAUAAUACAACGGUUGAAUUGUAAUCAAAAGCGAGCAAGGCGUUUGAACCGCAGUAACCUCUCGAUAUGUGUCUUCCGGUUCGAGCUGGCCGCUUUGCAGCGGCUUCUUUGCCAGCUCCGUGAUAUUAUUCCUGGCCAAGCAUUUUGAUGCUUAGCAAGUAUGCUAGUAGAAAUGUUAAAACAAAAAUUUUCUCCAACAGGAAGAAAGAAUUUUCAGCGAAAAAAUUGUUUAAUUGAACGAAUCGAUUGUAUUUGAUGAACUUAUUACGAAUUGUAUUUGUAAUAAUUAGAAUUACAGCGUUCUAAUUAAACUGCAGAUUUUUAUGUGCGUUAUGAAAAAUAUACAAAAUACGUGUAAUAUUGAAAAACGUAAGAAAUAUUUAAAGUGAAAUAUAUACUUGUUAUAAUAUUUAAUCGAUGAAACAAAUCUUUAUGUAUAAUUUCCAUUUGAAAGUUAUAUUGAUAGAAGUAUGAAAUUGCAUAAAAAUCCACGGUCUAAUUGUGAUUAAAUGUAUAGUAUUGUGUUAUUAUGUUAUAUGUUUGCACUUUUUCAGUCAGUUUGAGAUUCAUUAUAUAUACUUAUUGUGUUUUGGUUAGGCAAUGUUAGAGAUAGACACAUUCUAAGAUAGAAGAAACCAAACUCAAAUUUUUGAAAUUUCCUUAGAACUGUAAUAAGAUGCGAUCUUUGCGAUUGUAUUAGUCAAAUUAGAAACAACUCUGAAAAUGCAGAGAUAUAGAAAAUACAAAAUAUUUGUUACAAACAUAUAUUUAAUAGAAAAAUAAUAACUAUAUCACGAAUGAUGAUUUUAUGUACAUAACAAACACUAAAUAUAAUUUCACUG